GGCCAUGUAGAUCAAUCGUAGAUCGCCACUCUCCUACGAUGGGCAAGUGGAGGUUGCGGGUUCAAGUCCCGCCAUGGUCU
rfam:Diaporthe ampelina DA_912_scaffold_v01_226, whole genome shotgun sequence.